CCUUCGAUAGCUCAGCUGGUAGAGCGGAGGACUGUAGGCGAGGACGUUUGUAGGUAUCCUUAGGUCGCUGGUUCGAUUCCGGCUCGAAGGA
rnacentral:tRNA from 1 species